rnacentral:rRNA from 1 species
UACGGGGGGGGCGAGCGUUGUUCGGAAUUAUUGGGCGUAAAGGGCGCGUAGGCGGUGUCGCAAGUCGGUAGUGAAAUCUCCAGGCUCAACUUGGAGUCUGCUGCCGAAACUGCGGUGCUUGAGUAUGGGAGAGGUGAGUGGAAUUCCCGGUGUAGCGGUGAAAUGCGUAGAUAUCGGGAAGAACACCUGUGGCGAAAGCGGCUCACUGGACCAUAACUGACGCUGAGGCGCGAAAGCUAGGGGAGCAAACAGGAUUAGAUACCCUGGUAGUCCUAGCCCUAAACGAUGGAUGCUUGGUGUAGCGGGUACCCAAUCCCGCUGUGCCGGAGCUAACGCGUUAAGCAUCCCGCCUGGGGAGUACGGUCGCAAGGCUGAA